rnacentral:rRNA from 1 species
GACGAACGCUGGCGGCGUGCUUAACACAUGCAAGUCGAACGGAAAGGCCCUGCUUUUGUGGGGUGCUCGAGUGGCGAACGGGUGAGUAACACGUGAGUAACCUGCCCUUGACUUUGGGAUAACUUCAGGAAACUGGGGCUAAUACCGGAUAGGAGCUCCUGCUGCAUGGUGGGGGUUGGAACGUUUCGGCGGUUGGGGAUGGACUCGCGGCUUAUCAGCUUGUUGGUGGGGUAGUGGCUUACCAAGGCUUUGACGGGUAGCCGGCCUGAGAGGGUGACCGGCCACAUUGGGACUGAGAGACGGCCCAGACUCCUACGGGAGGCAGCAGUGGGGAAUAUUGCACAAUGGGCGGAAGCCUGAGGCAGCAACGCCGCGUGCGGGAUGACGGCCUUCGGGUUGUAAACCGCUUUCGCCUGUGACGAAGCGUGAGUGACGGUAAUGGGUAAAGAAGCACCGGCUAACUACGUG